AAUGAGUAUGCUUCACUCGACCCUGGCCAUUAGUCCCCCCUCUUAGUUUUAAAGAUUGGGGUGUAGUUUUCAGAUAAUAGCAUUCAUCUGUUUUUCCAAGUGUACAGUUUGAUGAGGUCUGACAAAUGCAUGCAGUCAUGUGACCACCAUCUCAAUCAAAAUAUAGACUAUUUCCUUUAGCCCCAAAGUUCCCUUAGACCCUUUUGUGGUCAAUCCCACCCCCAAACAGCCCAGUCCUUGGCAACCAUUGAUAAGUUUUUCCCUCUCUCAUUUUGUCUUUUUUAGAAUGCUGCAUGAAUCAAGUCAUUAAGUGUUGGCCUUUUUGUCUGGCAGUUUUCACUUAAAAGAAUGGUUUUCACAUUCACUCGUGUUGUUUCAUGUAUCUGAGUUUUAUUUUUACUUCCAUAUUACCUUCCAUUGUACAGACGAACCAUCAUUUGUUUAUGGGUUGACCAGUUGACAGAUGUUUGGCUUGCUUUCAGUUUUUAGCUAUUAUGAAUAAAGCUGCUAUAACUGUUCAUGAACAGGUCUUUGUACACAUAAUUAGUGUGAAGUGAUAUUUUAUUGUAGUAUGAGUUUGUUCUUCUCAGAUGAUGAACAAUGUUCUGCAUUGUUUUUCUAGGGCUUGGGGGUCAUUAGGCUAUCUUUAAUGGAAUAUCUAUUUAAAUAUUUUGCUUCUUUUAAAGUAUAGUUAUUCGUAUUUUUAACUUAAGCUUUCAAUUUCAAAAUAAUUAUAGAUCCACAGGAAGAUGCAGAGAAGUGUACAGAGAGGCCCAGCGUCUCCUUCACCCUGUCUUACCCCGUGUUAGCAUCUUGUACAACUAUAGUACAUAAUCAAACCAGGAAAAUGAUGUUGGCACAUCCUGUGAAGUCCAUGCAGAUUCUCCAGUAAAAUACACAUUUGUGUGUGCAGGCAUAUGUUUUUGUGUUUGUGCACACAGCUCGCUGCCAUUUUACUACCUGUGUGGCUUCCUCUUUUCCACCCCACAAUCUGGGUGGCUAACUAUCACCACAAGACUGCUUUAUGUUGCUCCAAUGUCUUUGCUCCUCCACAUGGCUAGCCCCUGGCAGCCACUAAUCUGUUCUUCAUCUCUAGGAAUAUGUUAUGUUACAUAGAUUUUCUGUUUGUAUCCUUUGAGACUGGUUUCCUUCAUUCAGUAUGAUUUUCUUGGUAAUCAUCCAAGUUGAUACAUGUAUCGAUAGUUUGUUCCUUUUUACUGCUAAAUGGUAUUCCAUAGUAUUCAUUUGUAACCAUUCAUCCAUUGAAGGAUAUUUGCAUGGUUUCUAAAUUUGGC
rnacentral:lncRNA from 1 species